rnacentral:ncRNA from 2 species
CAAUCCCGUGCGGGAGAGUCUUCGUGCUGGCUCUCGGGCCGGCGACGGAGCGCCGAAGGGGCAACCCCUCCCCGGAACCUCUCAGGCGCAAAGGACCGCGCGGGCUGG